UACGUAGGCAGCGAGCGUUGUUCGGAGUUACUGGGCGUAAAGCGUGCGUAGGCGGUUGUCUAAGUUUGGUGUGAAAUCUCCUGCUUAACUGGGAGGGUGCGCCGAAAACUGGGUGACUGGAGUGUCGGAGAGGUAAGCGGAAUUCCUGGUGUAGCGGUGAAAUGCGCAGAUAUCAGGAGGAACACCGGUGGCGAAGGCGGGUCUCUGGGCCGAAACUGACGCUGAGGAGCGAAAGCGUGGGGAGCAAACAGG
rnacentral:rRNA from 1 species